UCGCUCAUCUCUUGCUCGAAUCCUGCCUCGCCUUUCUCUUCCUUUUGUAUUUUUGAAAGCGUUUUCAUUAUUAAAACCACCACUCCUUUCACCAAAAAUCCAAACCACC
rnacentral:ribozyme from 1 species